rnacentral:snRNA from 1 species
AUCCUUUCGCAGUGGCAGUAUCGUAGCUUAUGAGGUUUGUCUGAGGCACGAUUGUUGCUAGUUGAAAACUUUACCCAAUACCCCGCCUUGACGACUUGAAAUAUAGUUGGUCAUUGCGAUUUUUGAUGGUCUCUAAGGAGA